rnacentral:lncRNA from 1 species
GGAUAAUACUUCUAUCCAGCAAGAAGCGCUUGGGCUGGGAGCUCGAGCUCAAGUAGAAUGUCAAAAACAGGGGCUCUAUCUGCUAAUGGGGUAGCCGGCAAUGUAGCUGGCUACUGCUCAUGUGAUUUCUGGAUAUGAGAGGAUGAGAACUUGAGAAGAAUAAGCUUGAUGCUAUGAUUGCAAAAAAAUUGUACUACAGGUAUUCCUUUCAGUACUGUUGCAGCAAACCUUAAUUGGCUACUUUUUUAUGAACUGGUUGUGAUUGAUUUGUGAACUUUAGAGCUUGUGAGUUGUAAUUUGUGAUUUCAUAGGAUGCUUGAAGGUCAAUACAAGGCUAUAUUAAAUGUAUCCACAUAUCUGUGCUUUGAGACGAGGGACAACCCUGAGAACUAGCUUCAGGUUCCAUAAAAAGUCCAAAUAAUCAUACUAAUGUUUCAGAUUUUUAGUUAAGCAUUGUAGAAUUCUUGCAAACAUAGGUGUAUAUUUAAUCUUCAUCCUCUGAACCAGGUGAGAGUGGAGACACACCAUACACAGGCUCUGCAAGUGGGCGGAAAUAGAGCUCUUCGCCGAUGACUUCUACGAGGACGAUAUUGACCUAGAGGCUGGAGCUUUGCUACUCUUUCCGGUCAACAACAAG